GAUGAACGCUGACAGAAUGCUUAACACAUGCAAGUCAACUUGAACUUCGGUUUGGGUGGCGGACGGGUGAGUAACGCGUAAAGAACUUGCCUCACAGCUAGGGACAACAUUUGGAAACGAAUGCUAAUACCUGAUAUUAUGAUUUUAGGGCAUCCUAGAAUUAUGAAAGCUAUAUGCGCUGUGAGAGAGCUUUGCGUCCCAUUAGCUAGUUGGAGAGGUAACGGCUCACCAAGGCGAUGAUGGGUAGCCGGCCUGAGAGGGUGAACGGCCACAAGGGGACUGAGACACGGCCCUUACUCCGACGGGAGGCAGCAGUGGGGAAUAUUGGACAAUGGACCAAGAGUCUGAUCCAGCAAUUCUGUGUGCACGAUGAAGUUUUUCGGAAUGUAAAGUGCUUUCAGUUGGGAAGAAAAAAAUGACGGUACCAACAGAAGAAGUGACGGCUAAAUACGUG
rnacentral:rRNA from 1 species